GUCCGUAAAGGUGGAUGAGUGGUGUUUGGUUUGUUACGUGUGGUUGGCUGCGGCGUUUGCAACAACUUCCAUGCUUUCAGACCUCUUCAGUUGUGCGGCAAGGCUUGUAUCGCCUUGAGCGUAUUGUGGGUUUUCUGUGUUGGCUACCUAAUCAAUGGUAUCGGUUGGAUUGAUCAAUGUUUCAUUUCGUCUUCCGUCGCAUUCGCGGCGUGAGAUGAACCUUGAUGCGGUCUCUUUGAUCCACCUCGUCGAAGCGCAUGCUUUGGCGUUGUGGCACAUUGAGCAUUGCUUGGUCUCUUGUAUACGGAACAUAUAGUGGGCAUGGAUCUAACGAUUCUCGUUUGCCCUCAUAUUAGCGUAACGCUUCUCUUACACGACUUGCACCACGUUUUAGCUCGUACGGACGUGGU
rnacentral:misc_RNA from 1 species